UUAAUAGUAACAUAAGAACACAAGUACACAUCAAGGAAAACUCCAAUUUGACUCUUUAAAUUUGCCUUUUUUAAUCUAUGUAGGCUAUUUAUCUGUAUUGUCCGCCACUUUAAAGAUUACUGCUACUGAAUUUUACUAUACUAUGUUUCAUUAAACUAUAAGGGCUUUCUAUUCUAUUCUAUUCAGAAAAAUGUGGCUAUUGGUAACACCUCAAUGGAAAAGAAUAAAACAAGACGUAAUAAACAGCUCGUCUUGAUAAUAGGAAGCUUUUGAGUAUUGUAAUCACUUCUUAACAAAACAAAAGUUUAUCAAUCUUUUUGUUUUGGAAUCCAAAGCCCAAAAUAAACAACAAAAAUUAUUAUCUGUGUUUAGCCGCUUUUGUUUCAGGGUUCAAUUCAAGCAAUUAGAUUCUAAAACUUUUACCCCACCAACUUUGCAGUCUUUCUGUAUUGAGUUUUACUCCCUUAAAUUUAGUAAAAGUUAAGUAUCCAUAAUUAUUUUGUAUUGUCACACAUUUCAUUUAGAUUUCCCUUCUUUGAUUUUGCUCGGUAUAAUAUAUAUUUUUGUUGUUAUUUUAAGCUUUUAUAGAGCUGAGCUGCUAAACUGCCUUCUUAUUUCCUUCAUUAACAGCAAAACUCACUUAUAUCUGGAUCAUGAAGGUGAAAAGGACUUUUCUUCAGGCCCUUCUUCAUACAGUAUAUGCUCAUCUGCUGUGCGCAUACGUUUGCAUGUCCUGCCUCCAACAUCAUCACAGAAAAGAUAACCUGAUUUCCGUGUUCCUUCACCUCAUGAGGCUGGAAAGGUUCAGUAAUGUGCGCACCGGGGGGCUUCACUCCCUCAGGGGAGUUUUUACCCCAUUAACGAAAAAAAACCCAAAGGAAAGGUUCUAGGUCCUUCUAUGUGUCAAAAAAUUCUGUUCAAAUCCCUCAGAAGCGCAGGAAGACUCACCUGUUGUAGUCCAGAGCGCGUGGGCGCGCGCCAACAAACGCAGAUGAGCUUCGGGGAGACUGGAGACACGCGGAGCUCUCACACCGACUAAAAACUCUGCGGAUGUGAGUCUGCAAACCGGGAAGCGGAGCUGAAAGGAUGGAUCGGGAAUUCUGACUUGACCCCGCCCCCCUGGUCGGAGUGGAGAUGCUGCAGCUGGAUGAGUGUUCCAGAACCUCUCUGCAGUUACAAUGAAGCUGAUUUAUGAGCUUUCAUCAUCUCUGGAGAACGUCUCCUAGAGAAGCUCUCUUCUGCUUGAACAAAAAUGUCCCCGACAACAGUGGAACAGGAAGAGGAUGCAGACAAGGAAAGAGGAAGUGAAGAGGCGGGAUACUUCCCGCUGCCAAUCUGGAACCAGAGGCAUCGUCCCUUCCUGCCAAUUGACAUUUGGACUCUUAUCAUGAAUCUCAACACAAAUUCUUCUGAUUUGAAAUAUUCAACAUUUGACACUGCAAAUGUAAACAGACAAGAAAACGUUUCUACGGGAGUUUCAUACUUUCAAGAAGUACUUUUUAGAUUUAGGUGGGUGAGGUGAAGGACCGGAGAGCAGCAGCAGAGAUAAAGACUAUUUAACAGUCAGAUCUACAUGAUAACCAGCUGUUCAGCCAAAGAACACACUGCCCAGAACAUCUGAGUCUACAGUAGAACAGGAUAUUUUACUAAAGAAAUGGUGGAUUUUAGUCGCUGGACGGUUGCAUCUAUGCCACAGGAAUGUGUUUUAUGAAGAAUACUGGCUCAUAUAUAGUACUUGACUUCAUAGUAGUUGUUUCAAGAACAGAAAAUACAAGCCAGUACAGAUGAGGAGUGUGGCUUUCAGCCAGUAGGAACAAGUUAGGAAAGAAUUUGUUUUAGUUACUAGAAGAUCAGUGGUACAUUAAAAAGUCCAGGUUCAUUAUUCAUGCGAUUGUUCUGCUUUGAUUCAUGGUUUGUUGCACUUCUAUCAUCAAUAUUUUGUAGAUUAUUUUAAACUACUGUUUUAUCACCUGGAGUAUUGUUGUUUGGUAUAUUGAUCCUAAUGGGUCAGUUGCUCCAAAUGCAGAAAAGAAUUCAACCAAAACCCUCAAAUGAUUUAAGAAGUGUAUAAACUCACAGGCAUGAAUUUAUAAACUCAUCCAUCCAUCCA